GAAAUAUGCAAAUUUAAACUUCUAAUUUAAAAUAUAGUGAUUUAAUUCAUUAAUAUUUCA
rnacentral:tRNA from 1 species